ACGUAGGGGGCAAGCGUUGCUCGGAAUUAAUGGGCGUAAAGGGUGUGUAGGUGGCUGAUUAAGUUAAGGAUGAAAUCCCGAGGCUCAACUUCGGAACUGUCCUUGAAACUGGCAAGCUUGAGGAUGGUAAAGGAGAGCGGAAUUCCCGGUGUAGAGGUGAAAUGCGUAGAUAUCAGGAGGAACACCGGAGGCGUAGGCGACUCUCUGGGCUAAUACUGACGCUGAGACGCGAAAGCUAGGGGAGCAAACGG
rnacentral:rRNA from 1 species